AUUCCAGCUCCAAUAGCGUAUAUUAAAGUUGUUGCAGUUAAAAAGCUCGUAGUUGGAUUUCGGAAUGGGUCAGUUGGUCCGCCGCAAGGUGAGUUACUGACUGAUUUGUUCUUCUUCGCAAAGACUGCGUGUGCUCUUUACUGAGUGUACGUAGGAUUUACGACGUUUACUUUGAAAAAAUUAGAGUGUUCAAAGCAGGCUAUCGCUUGAAUACAUGAGCAUGGAAUAAUGGAAUAGGACUUUGGUUCUAUUUUAUUGGUUUCUAGAACUGGUUUAAUGAUUGAUAGGGAUAGUUGGGGGUGCUAGUAUUCAGCGGCCAGAGGUGAAAUUCUUGGAUUCGCUGAAGACUAACUUAUGCGAAAGCAUUCACCAAGGAUGUCUUCAUUG
rnacentral:rRNA from 1 species